AUUGAAAAUGUCCAUGGCUGUUUGAAAACAGCGCCGUUGCUGGGAACAGCUGCGUUCGUCUUCUCCAUCCCGGUUCAGUAGGCUGAAGAUCUGCAACAAACUUGAUCUGAUCGUGGACCACGAUCCCUCUCAUGAUUUGAAUAAAAGUCCUGCAAAGAUGGGUUUGAUGGGGCUAUAAGAAGAGGAAACCAAACGCAAGCAGGGGAGGAGGGGGGCAGAAGGAAAACCCAGAACCAGAGGGGAACGCAAGCAAAACACAAAGAAAAAACCCAGGAACAAAGGGGGAAAUAAACCCAGAAACAGGAGCAAAACAGAGCAUAAACACAAAAAAAAAUACACAGAGAGAAGGGGAGAAAAGUAGAAAGGAAUCAUAGAUCAACCUGCCAUCAUCUUCAUCCCUGCACAAAAAAAUCAACCCAAAACAGAGCCAAGAACCGAAGAAAGACAGAGCAUGUGAGAGCAAGACGAAAAAGAAAAAAACAGACCGAGAGAGAGCGGACAGACAUAUACGAAAAAAGGAAAAGCAGAGGAGAUAACGUGAACAAAAAGAGAACCAGGGAAACACCGAGAACCGAACACACGCAGCACAUAGAGAACGAAAAAACACAGGGGAGAACGAACGGACAACUAGAAGUAGAGGGGAUACGAACUACCGAGAGAAGAAGAAGCAGAGGGCAGGAAAGCAAAGGGUAGAAGGAAUUCCAGUUUCGCUAGGAGGAACGCCUUCACAGAUCUUCGCCCAAAACAGCAGCACUCCAG
rnacentral:lncRNA from 1 species